AACGAACGCUGGCGGCAGGCCUAACACAUGCAAGUCGUGCGCGCCUUCGGGUGAGCGGCGGACGGGUGAGUAACGCGUGGGAAUAUGCCCUUCUGUUGAGGAUAGCCCCGGGAAACUGGGAGUAAUACUCGAUACGCCCUUUGGGGGAAGGAAGGAUUAGCCCGCGUCUGAUUAGGUAGUUGGUGGGGUAAUGGCCUACCAAGCCUACGAUCAGUAGCUGGUUUUAGAGGAUGAUCAGCCACACUGGGACUGAGACACGGCCCAGACUCCUACGGGAGGCAGCAGUGAGGAAUCUUAGACAAUGGGCGCAAGCCUGAUCUAGCCAUGCCGCGUGUGUGAUGAAGGCCUUAGGGUCGUAAAGCACUUUCGCCAGAGAUGAUAAUGACAGUAUCUGGUAAAGAAACCCCGGCUAACUCCGUGCCAGCAGCCGCGGUAA
rnacentral:rRNA from 1 species